rnacentral:rRNA from 1 species
UACGUAGGCAGCGAGCGUUGUUCGGAGUUACUGGGCGUAAAGCGUGCGUAGGCGGUUGUCUAAGUUUGGUGUGAAAUCUCCUGCUUAACUGGGAGGGUGCGCCGAAAACUGGGUGACUGGAGUGUCGGAGAGGUAAGCGGAAUUCCUGGUGUAGCGGUGAAAUGCGUAGAUAUCAGGAGGAACACCUGUGGUGUAGACGGCUUUCUGGACCGUAGCUGACGCUGAGACACGAAAGCGUGGGUAGCAAACAGG